rfam:Plesiomonas shigelloides 302-73 genomic scaffold scaffold00012, whole genome shotgun sequence.
GGUGUUUGCAGCAAUAACGAUUGGCGUUCAGGGAUGGUGCCGCCGAUAUGGUAAGGCAACCCACAGUUGGCAAACGAAAUAUAUUCACCACGCUCGAGCAUGAUGAUUUGCGCCUGCUCACUGACCCGGCGAGCUCUGGCUGCUGCGGAAGCGCCACCGGCGACACCGC